rnacentral:lncRNA from 1 species
GUGCGCGGGCGGAUGGAUCAACGCCGCCAAGUGGGGAAAGCGCGAAUGCAGUCCCCCACUACAACAAAUUAUGCAGUCGAGUUUUCCACAUUUGGGAAUAUCACAGGGGUCAGCACAUCCGGAGUGCAAUCGAUGAGCCCCACGCUGGGAAAAACCACCUUCGUGAUCAUGGUAUCUUCCCUGCCAGAGAGAAACCAAUCAGCUUCAUUUUCAACUUCUUCUAUGACUCCAGAGGAUUCACUUUGCAUCUUGUGACAAAUGAAUAUAUUACCUGAAAAAAAAAUGACAGGAUAGAUGAGUUGCUGCACAGGGGGAAAGCGAAGUUCCCAGGAGUAAGAUGUGCAAGAAGCGGGCAGCCUUGCAUCUCAGGGCUGAGUUCCCUCAACUGUGUGCUUGAGGGAAGUUCUCCCCUUGCAGACACACUGCUGAGUGAUAAGGAAGCACCUAGACUCCACUCUGACCAGACUUGGUUCUGAGGCCUAUGAAAUGUUGAUGGGAAGAACAGAAGCAGGAAAAUCUAUCUAUUCAAAUUUGCAAGACGUGGAAACUUUUAUUCACCUUCCUGGUUAGACUGUUCCUUUGUCAAAGUAAAGCUAAGGCCAUGGAAAAUGAGCUAUUUGAGAGUUUGUCGCUCCAAGGAAGAACAUGCUGGCCUAAUUGUCCCCCAAGUCAGGAGAGAGAAUUGUAAAAAACACUUAAACAGGCCUAAGUAAAGGUCCAGCACAUUAUUUAUUUAAGACUGAAUUAGAACUGAGUCAUUCCGACUCUGAAAAAAGAGUGUUGUUGGAUUCUUAUGUAUUUAAUGGGUCUGCCCUAUUGAAAACCAUUGUGAAGUAUGGUUUCCCAAGCAAGAAAUGACACUUUCACUGUCAGUCUUUCUAGGAGUCUGGCAGAAUCCAGGACCGGGAUUACCCUUAUUUAUGAAGCGACCUUAGACUAACAGUGGCUCUCUGGGUCUCCAGACAAUUGGCCAGGGACUCUAAAAACCAGAAACAAAGUUGAGAGAACUCCAUGCUGGUGGAGAAAAACAGCUGGCCUUUAUCACCAGAAUGUGCCCCAUAGAAGCAGCAAAGCAGCAAGCGACGUUCUUAAACAAGGGCCUGUGGGCCUCGUCAAGAUCUGGAGGAAUCAUCUACGACUCACUGCUGAGUGAGAGGGCUAGGCAGUGUCUUUAAGGUCCUGCCAGCUUUAACAUUGUAUGCUUUUUCUUUUGUUCAAUCUCUCACCACAACUGGAAGUGUUGCCUCAACUACACAGGAGAAAGUUUGCAGUAACUUAGAGAAAACAUUAUUUUAAUCACCAGUGUAUGUUCUCCUGCUCCCUGGACAAAUCCAUCAGCAGCGGCAACACUGACCAGGUCCAGAUUGGGGCCGCUGCGGUGGAUGUGAAUCCAUUGAAACUAGGGGUCUCCAGUGCUCCUGA